UCCAGAAGAUGUAAUUUGCCACUGUGUGC
rnacentral:piRNA from 1 species